rnacentral:rRNA from 1 species
AUACGUAGGUGGCGAGCGUUGUCCGGAAUUACUGGGCGUAAAGGAUGCGUAGGCGGAUAUGUAGGUCAGAUGUGAAAUACCCGGGCUCAACUUGGGUGCUGCAUUUGAAACUGCAUGUCUAGAGUGCGGGAGAGGAAAGUGGAAUUCCUAGUGUAGCGGUGAAAUGCGUAGAGAUUAGGAAGAACACCAGUGGCGAAGGCGACUUUCUGGACCGUAACUGACGCUGAGGCAUGAAAGCGUGGGUAGC